rnacentral:rRNA from 1 species
CCAGACUCCUACGGGAGGCAGCAGUGGGGAAUAUUGCACAAUGGGGGAAACCCUGAUGCAGCGACGCCGCGUGAGUGAAGAAGUAUUUCGGUAUGUAAAGCUCUAUCAGCAGGGAAGAAAAUGACGGUACCUGAUUAAGAAGCCCCGGCUAACUACGUGCCAGCAGCCGCGGUAAUACGUAGGGGGCAAGCGUUAUCCGGAUUUACUGGGUGUAAAGGGAGCGUAGACGGCAGCACAAGUCUGGAGUGAAAUCCCGGGGCUUAACCCCGGAACUGCUUUGGAAACUGUGCGGCUGGAGUGCAGGAGGGGUAAGCGGAAUUCCUAGUGUAGCGGUGAAAUGCGUAGAUAUUAGGAGGAACACCGGUGGCGAAGGCGGCUUACUGGACUGUAACUGACGUUGAGGCUCGAAAGCGUGGGGAGCGAACAGGAUUAGAUACCCGAGUAA